rnacentral:rRNA from 1 species
GGGUAACCUACCCUGUACACACGGAUAACAUACCGAAAGGUAUGCUAAUACGGGAUAAUAUAUUUGAGAGGCAUCUCUUGAAUAUCAAAGGUGAGCCAGUACAGGAUGGACCCGCGUCUGAUUAGCUAGUUGGUAAGGUAACGGCUUACCAAGGCGACGAUCAGUAGCCGACCUGAGAGGGUGAUCGGCCACAUUGGAACUGAGACACGGUCCAAACUCCUACGGGAGGCAGCAGUGGGGAAUAUUGCACAAUGGGCGAAAGCCUGAUGCAGCAACGCCGCGUGAGUGAUGAAGGCCUUCGGGUCGUAAAACUCUGUCCUCAAGGAAGAUAAUGACGGUACUUGAGGAGGAAGCCCCGGCUAACUACGUGCCAGCAGCCGCGGUAAUACGUAGGGGGCUAGCGUUAUCCGGAUUUACUGGGCGUAAAGGGUGCGUAGGCGGUCUUUCAAGUCAGGAGUGAAAGGCUACGGCUCAACCGUAGUAAGCUCUUGAAACUGGGAGACUUGAGUGCAGGAGAGGAGAGUGGAAUUCCUAGUGUAGCGGUGAAAUGCGUAGAUAUUAGGAGGAACACCAGUUGCGAAGGCGGCUCUCUGGACUGU